rnacentral:rRNA from 1 species
AUUGAACGCUGGCGGCAGGCCUAACACAUGCAAGUCGAACGGUAACAGGAAACAGCUUGCUGUUUCGCUGACGAGUGGCGGACGGGUGAGUAAUGUCUGGGAAACUGCCUGAUGGAGGGGGAUAACUACUGGAAACGGUAGCUAAUACCGCAUAACGUCGCAAGACCAAAGAGGGGGACCUUCGGGCCUCUUGCCAUCGGAUGUGCCCAGAUGGGAUUAGCUUGUUGGUGGGGUAACGGCUCACCAAGGCGACGAUCCCUAGCUGGUCUGAGAGGAUGACCAGCCACACUGGAACUGAGACACGGUCCAGACUCCUACGGGAGGCAGCAGUGGGGAAUAUUGCACAAUGGGCGCAAGCCUGAUGCAGCCAUGCCGCGUGUAUGAAGAAGGCCUUCGGGUUGUAAAGUACUUUCAGCGGGGAGGAAGGGAGUAAAGUUAAUACCUUUGCUCAUUGACGUUACCCGAAGAAGAAGCACCGGCUAACUCCGUG